GACGAACGCUGGCGGCGUGCCUAAUACAUGCAAGUCGAACGGUCUUUUCUAUGGAAGCUUGCUUCCACUGGGAAGAUAGUGGCGGACGGGUGAGUAACACGUGGGUAACCUGCCCAUAAGAGGGGGAUAACAUCCGGAAACGGCUGCUAAUACCGCAUAAACUUUUUAAGACACAUAGUUUUAAAAAGGAAAGGUGGCGACAAGCUAUCGCUUAUGGAUGGGCCCGCGUCUGAUUAGCUAGUUGGUGGGGUAACGCCUACC
rnacentral:rRNA from 1 species